rnacentral:rRNA from 1 species
UACGUAGGUGACAAGCGUUGUCCGGAUUUACUGGGCGUAAAGAGCGCGCAGGCGGGUCGAUUCAAGUCGAGUGUGAAAAGCCCCCGGCUCAACUGGGGAGGGUCAUUCGAUACUGAUCGACUCGAAGGCAGGAGAGGGUAGUGGAAUUCCCGGUGUAGUGGUGAAAUGCGUAGAUAUCAGGAGGAACACCGGUGGCGAAGGCGGCUUGCUGGGCCUUACCUGACGCUGAGGAGCGAAAGCGUGGGGAGCGAACAGG